rnacentral:rRNA from 1 species
CACGUAGGGGCCAAGCGUUGUCCGGAUUUAUUGGGCGUAAAGAGCUCGUAGGCGGUUCGACAAGUCGGGUGUGAAAACUCCGGGCUCAACCCGGAGACGCCACCCGAUACUGUCGUGACUGGAGUCCGGUAGGGGAGUGGGGAAUUCCUGGUGUAGCGGUGAAAUGCGCAGAUAUCAGGAGGAACACCGGUGGCGAAAGCGGCGCGCUGGACCUCUUCUGACGCUGAGGCGCGAAAGCCAGGGGAGCAAACGGG